rnacentral:rRNA from 1 species
CGUAGGUGGCGAGCGUUGUCCGGAUUUAUUGGGUUUAAAGGGUGCGUAGGCGGUCCUAUAAGUCAGUGCUGAGAUAUCCCGGCUUAACCGGGAGGGUGGCAUUGAUACUGCAGGACGUGAGUAAAGUUGAGGUUGGCGGAAUUGACGGUGUAGCGGUGAAAUGCAUAGAUAUCGUCAAGAACACCGAUAGUGUAGACAGCUAACUAAGCUUUAACUGACGCUGAGGCACGAAAGUGUGGGGAUCAAACAGGAUUAGAUACCCUGGUAGUCCACACUGUAAACGUUGAUUACUCGAUGUUGGCGAUACACUGUCAGCGUCUUAGCGAAAGCGAUAAGUAAUCCACCUGGGGAGUACGCCGGCAACGGUG